CAAACGAUAUAUGUCCUAAAUAGUGUAUCCAUGGACAAUGGAUCGAUUGAAGAAAUAAUCUAAUGAUGUUAGAUUACACAGACCUUCUUCACAUAACCAUAAUGUCCAAAAGGGUUCCUGGUCAUUGGAUUGUCGGAGGGAUACUGACAAUGCUUAGACCGGUACAUACUGUGUCUGCUUCAAUUGGAAGGAUGGAAAGUCUCAUCCCAUUCGUGUGGUGACACUAAGAUAAGUAUGUAGGUGCUCAUUAUGGGAAUGAGUUCACUGAACACAAUCGAACGAGAGUACUUGCAUGGAGGUCUACUCACAUGUCAAGCAAGUAA
rnacentral:lncRNA from 1 species